rnacentral:rRNA from 1 species
GUACGGGGGGGCAAGCGUUGUUCGGAAUUACUGGGCGUAAAGGGCGCGUAGGCGGCCUGCUAAGUCGGAUGUGAAAUCCCUACGGCUCAACCGAGGAACUGCAUCCGAUACUGGCGGGCUUGAAUCCGGGAGAGGGAUGUGGAAUUCCAGGUGUAGCGGUGAAAUGCGUAGAUAUCUGGAGGAACACCGGUGGCGAAGGCGGCAUCCUGGACCGGUAUUGACGCUGAGGCGCGAAAGCUAGGGGAGCAAAGCGGGG